rnacentral:lncRNA from 1 species
CCGAAGUUUCAUACUGAAAAAUCCCACUUAACUAAGGCCCUUUGAAUGCGGGAGGAGAUACAUAAUAUGCUACCACAAGAGCAUGCGCAAUAAUUGAAAUCCACCUUUUUUUUUUUUUUUGACAAGAGUACCGAAUAUUAUUAGAUAAGUGGAAUAAUUAUAAUGACAAAGUUACAACAAAGUAGAAGAAACAACCAAAGAAUCUAAUGAAUUACCCUUCUUGGCUAAAUCAUUUGCCAUGGAAUUUGCUUCUAGGUAGAUAUGGUUGAAAGUAAAACUGCUGCCCGAAGAUAAAUCCUGAAUUUGCAGCCAUAAAGAGUGAAUCCACUAACGGCGGUCUAGAUAAACAGUUGCAUCAGUUGAUAAUAUUAAUCGAGUCUCCUUCGAUUAAUAAACAACUCCCCAAGCCUUUCUCUUUCCAAUCAAGAAUCCUUGCAGCAAAGCGGCCAUCUCUGCAUGAUUAGCAGUGACAUCUCCAUAAGGGGUAGGAUAGCAAAAGAUCAGAGUACCCUGAUAAUCUCUACAUAUGCCUCCCACACCCCCCCCGCGAAGUCCAGAAUUACCAAAAAAAAAAAAAAGAACCAUCAAAAUUAAAUUUAUAGCAACCCAAAAACGGUGGAACCCAUAUACACCGAGAUCUUACCCGAAAAUAAUUCUGAAGAAGCACAUAAGAAGGGAGAAACAAAAGCACAGUUAUUUGUUACAUUGCCCAACACCACAGAUGAUAAGGAUAUGGACAGUGCAGCAAAAAGUGGUGAUCAACCGUCUCCGCAUUUUCUUUACAAAAUAAACCCCCAUUAACAAUGGU